CUGGGGCGGAGUGGCUGGGGUGGGGGACAGGGGCACUUUUGCACGAAGUCCAGCUUUCAGCUCCUUGGAGCGAUCUCCAAGUUCCCCCGAGCCGGGACUUCCUUUCCUCGGCCUCUCGGCCCCCUCCUCCUCCUUCUCCGAUCGUUUUUUUUUUUUUUUUUUUUUCCUCCCCCCACUGUCUUCUCUACGAUUUAAUUAAAGUUCAGCGACUCCACUUGCCUCUCCUCUCAUUUCUUUCGGAAAGCGGAAACCAGGCGACCCAGCAGCCACCGGCCCAGCCGCCCCAGCUCAACCCCAGCAGGACGCAGGAGGGGCCUCCCUCGCCCGCCUCCCUCCGCCGGCGCUGGCUUCCCGGACCCGGGUCUGCAGUCCCUCCGCCAUCCCGCAGGUGUGCAGCCGCUUGGCCUGGGGGAUCCGAAUGACUGGGGCUGAAUAGGAAUGUCUUCGUGUUUCCCCAGACCCCGGGCCUGCUCCGCAAAGUUUGGAGGGUGGGUACACCCCAACCCAGGCAAGUUGCUCCCCCAAAAUCCAUGACUGACUGAUCUGAUGUGACAAAAGCCCGUGAUGGAUUUGGUAUAUGUUAAUUCACAAUGCCCUUUCCUCCAGAAUUUAACUAUAAGUUAAUACACACCGGAAACCACGCGCAUACACGCUCCUUAAUGGGCUUAGGUAUUAGCGAGUCCUAACGAUGCAUACAAAUGUGCUCUGCGCUCUGUAGGCCCCUCAAGAUUUAUGGGCCUUGAGCUCUCUGAAGCUGUAAACAAGGAGGGAAAAAAAAAAGAGAAAGCGAAAGAGACUGAGGGGAAGAGACAGAGGCCUAACUCGCCCCUCCAGGUUGUGGGAGAGAAGGGAUUCUUUACGUAUUUUCCUUUCCUUGCAAGCUCGGUGCGUGUGGGUUUUGGCGUCGGUCUGGGGGUGGUGUUCUGCCUGAAUGCUGGCGUGCGUGGGCAGUGUGUUCUUUGCGUGCUAGGAUAGGAUGCCUGCCUCUUUGGAUUGCUGUGCAGGGGCCUGAACAUAGCAGGCAUUUGUGAGCAUAUAUGCGUGAGUGCGUGCACGGUGUUAGGGUGUGUGUGUGUGUGUGAGAGAGAGAGAGAGAGAGAGACAGGCAGGCUUCCCUCUGGGCCAGGCUGCUGUCCCCUGAACUUGGUGAACAAAUCUCUAACAACAAUCGUAAUAACAAUAAAUAACGAAUAAUAAUAAUAAAACAGUAGUUAACAGUCCCUGCAUAACAGGAUAACAAAAAAAUGCAAGAAGAAAUAUUUUGAGGAGGGGACAGAGGAAGAAGUCAGGAUCACAACAUCUGAGAGGGAGAUAGGAAAGGACGGGAGGAAGUAAGCUUCUUAAUAUGCUCUUGGGGAGCUGCGGUUGGGAACCCCUUUCCCGGACAAGGGACAAAAGAGGAGAAGGAGAGCCAGGAGUCUACUAUUUAUUGCUUUUUUUUCUGGGCCUUUUUCUUUGUGUGAUCAGGGAAGGGAUCCCACAUAUGGGGGUGGUUAAUGGUUUUUGGGACUCUCUGGGAGCCCCUAUUUUAAGGAGGAGGCCAAAUGUGCAGGGUCAGGCCAAGGGGCAGAGAUGAAUGAGGCGAUGACCACAGACUUGAUCCGGCAAGAGCGCAGAAAUGCCCGGGAGGACGAGCCCCCAGGGCCCGGACGGAAGCAGAAAAACAUUUAUGGCCGCCGGGGAGUGGGGAGAGCCAGACUGGGGCUCCAGCAGGCCCAGGGCAAGUUCCCUUUCUAGGGUCUUUAUUAAAAAAUUUAAAAGGAGGAGUUAAGGCGCCUUGAAUUUUCCUUCGCGAGCUUGGAACCUAGCCGAUUUUUCAUGAAGGAAGCAAAGACCACGGUCCCGGAUCCUGCAACAUCCACCUCUUUCUCUCCAGGCCUCUCCGCUGGCCGGAGCUCUCAGCCACCAGGAGACUGACGGAAGGGGCUUCUGAGCUGCGUUGGGAGCGGGCACUGUCCCCCACCCACUCCUGCUCGGUUUCCCAAAGUCCGGCGACCUCCGACCCUCCUUGGAGGGAAAAUACCAGCACCCAGAUACCUCUGCACCCUGUUAGAUGACUGGGCGUGCUUCAGGAAUAUCUUACAAAGAAGAAGAAGAAAGAACGGCUUGGAGUCGUGUUUACAUCUAGUUCUACUGAUCCGUUCACAUCUGGAGAGUUUAUUUAUAACUCCCUCUAUAACUCUCUGUUUGGAGGCACUGGUGGCUCUACUGACAGACUGAUGUCUAGAAAAUAUUGCUGUAUCUCUAACCAUACCUAAAUGUGCUGUGGUUGUAUUUACAGAUUUAUGUUUGAGGAAAAUAUAAUUAUUUCCAUUGUAUUUGUGCAUAUACAGGAGUUAUAGGAGCAGAUUUAUAUAUGGGAAAAUAUACGACUGUCUUACAGCCAUCCGGCUUUAUGUGCGCUUGAUCUCCUGACAGAUUUAUAUCUCUGAACAGCUAUAUAGAUAAAAAUGUAUAUUGUUAGAAUUAUGUAUCAGGAGAUAUAUACUUAUUGAUUGUGAUAUAGAGUAGUUAGAGCAUUCACUUAGAGCCAUAUAUGGCGAUAGAGAUAUUUCUAUAUUAUUAUCGCUAUAUAUAGGCAUAUCUAUUUAUAACUACAUAGUUAUAAAAAUAGACAUAAGUCAUUAUAGUCCUAUAUGUACAUGCUGCAAUCUCUCUCUAGAGUUACAGACACUUUCAAAUAUAACUCUAUAGUGAGAUUUGUAUGUAUAUUAUGUAUAAUUAUCUUGUGAUGUGUGCACGUUGGGACUUAGGCCAGUCUAUCUCAGAACAGGCGUAUUUAUCUGUAGGGGCUGGGAGAGACUUGUUCACAGAUAUCUGCGGGGGGGCCGGCUAGAAACGCUGUAUCUGCCCUCUAGGUAAGCAGCUAGCAGAGUUCUGUACUUACGGAGGGAUGGAGCUGCAAAACGGGAAAUAGAGCUCAGGGAGCCUCCAGGAAGGGAGGUAAAUGGAGGGUGGGUGGGCUCGGAUGAACUGAUCGCAGGAGGAAAGGGGUAAACACUAGCACCCACCAAAAGGUGAGAACCGGUUUUCUGAGGGGCUGGCGCAGGCGGCUGUGGUCGAGGAGCUUGGGAAAGGGGAAGCUGCAAAAACUCCAGCCUCCCCACCCUGAGACUAGGUCCACCGAGGAAGCAGCCUUCAGUUGGGCUCUUAGUGCACUGAAGGAUAGGGACUGCCGUGCCCCUCCUGCAGUCCUAGCUCGUUUCUCUUAAACCCUAAUUUUUAGGUCUCAAAGAGUGGGCUUCAGAGAUAAACAGGUUUAGGCAGGGACAGGGCGGGGAGCAUGGAGUACACUUUCGCUUUCUGAUAAGUGAGGUAAUCCAGGAGAGUGAGUUCAUUUGGCCAAAUAAAGCCUGUUUUUAUCUGGGCCUCCUGUGCCCUGGCAGGGAUGCAGGAUGGGACCGGAGACCUUGUGGACUGAGGAGUGAAUUUGCAAGAGCUGGGCCUGCUCUGAUGGGGGAUUGGGGAGCUUGUCCUCACCACCUGCCCUCCUUCUCUGAGGCCUGAGUGGCCUAAUUCCCUCUGGGUACAGAGGGACUCCUCCAGCUCUCUAACCGUGCUGCCCUGAACCUUUUCGGGGAGAAUUUGACUUUAGAAACAGGGCACAUGGGCUUACCCCACUAGAUCUUACUUCUCCACUCACAGCUACACCAACCACUCUUGCACCGGCCCCCUUCUAGACCCCACUGGGCCAAGACUCCCCAAUUCUCACCCCCGCUACCAACCAACUCAGGGGGGAAAUACCUCCCACCACCGCCAGUAUUUGUUUUUGUUUUUUAAUCAGGGAGUCACAGAUAACUUUGUUGAAUGUGCGAAGGAGUUGUCCUGAACUCAGUCUCAGCGGCCAGCCUGCUCCUUCCCCCAUCUCUAGGAUGCUGGGAAGGCAGUGGAGACUCUUGGACUGGGGCUAACCACCAUGUGCCACGGUCCACACACCCCUGCCCACAGGACUAGGAAGUCCUGCAGUGCAGGGACUCUGUCUGCUGCCUGGCACAGUGCGGUUGCCCAAACAUACUUGUUGAGGUAAACGGAAGGGCAAUCAACAUGAAAACUCACCCUCACUCUGCACACCACUGUGGCUAGCAGGCACCUGGAUACCCGGGCUGCAGGGACCCUAGCCAGGCUGGGGGAUAACAUGGAAGCUGGCAGCAGCUUGGGCUCUGAUGGGACCUGUGGGUAGUAGGGUGGGAGACCAGCCUGGGCCUAGGAUGGGGCGGAGGCUGGAGCGAGGCGCCUGAAGUCUGGAAAUGUGAAGGUAAGCCAAGGCAGACCCACCUCCCCAGUGUACUUCUGCUUUCUAUUUCCAGUCUCCCGGCCCCCUGAAUCCCCAGCCUAUGAAAACUAAACCAGAGCUGAGACCUGGGCUAGGAAGGAAUUGUCUGUCAACCCGAGGGGUGCAAAGAGGAACCACCACUGGGUCCAUUAAGAAAUCCACAAAU